rnacentral:rRNA from 1 species
GGGCUCAGUUUUAUUUUUUGCCAGCGCUUAUUGCGCGGCGAAAAACCUUACACACAGUGUUUUUUGUUAUUACAAGAACUUUUGCUUUGGUCUGGACUAGAAAUAGUUUGGGCCAGAGGUUUACUGAACUAAACUUCAAUAUUUAUAUUGAAUUGUUAUUUAUUUAAUUGUCAAUUUGUUGAUUAAAUUCAAAAAAUCUUCAAAACUUUCAACAACGGAUCUCUUGGUUCUCGCAUCGAUGAAGAACGCAGCGAAAUGCGAUAAGUAAUAUGAAUUGCAGAUUUUCGUGAAUCAUCGAAUCUUUGAACGCACAUUGCGCCCUCUGGUAUUCCAGAGGGCAUGCCUGUUUGAGCGUCAUUUCUCUCUCAAACCUUCGGGUUUGGUAUUGAGUGAUACUCUUAGUCGAACUAGGCGUUUGCUUGAAAUGUAUUGGCAUGAGUGGUACUGGAUAGUGCUAUAUGACUUUCAAUGUAUUAGGUUUAUCCAACUCGUUGAAUAGUUUAAUGGUAUAUUUCUCGGUAUUCUAGGCUCGGCCUUACAAUAUAACAAACAAGUUUGACCUCAAAUCAGGUAGGAUUACCCGCUGAACUUAAGCAUAUCAAUAAGCGGAGGAA